rnacentral:lncRNA from 1 species
GACGAUUCACAUGGUUCUAUGCCUGAUAUUGAUUCCAAAGUUUGUCCUAAACAUUAUCUAAGGUCCAGGAACACUUUCUACAACAAUUUAAUCAAUUCCUACCGUUUAAUCAUCAAUUCUAGGGAUUUGACCUAGUUUUCGUUUUCUCCAAUUCAAUCCUAAUUCUUGCUAACUAAUCAUCAGAAUUACACUCAAUUAACAAUACUGAGUUAUUAGUCUCACCCUUACCUUGUUUUGCAG